AUUGAACGCUGGCGGCAUGCCUUACACAUGCAAGUCGAACGGCAGCACGGGAGCAAUCCUGGUGGCGAGUGGCGAACGGGUGAGUAAUAUAUCGGAACGUGCCCAGUAGUGGGGGAUAACUGCUCGAAAGAGCAGCUAAUACCGCAUACGACCUGAGGGUGAAAGGGGGGGAUCGCAAGACCUCUCGCUAUUGGAGCGGCCGAUAUCAGAUUAGCUAGUUGGUGGGGUAAAGGCCUACCAAGGCAACGAUCUGUAGUUGGUCUGAGAGGACGACCAGCCACACUGGGACUGAAACACGGCCCAGACUCCUACGGGAGGCAGCAGUGGGGAAAUUUGGCCAAUGGGCGCAAGCCUGAUCCAGCAAUGCCGCGUGCAGGAAGAAGGCCUUCGGGUUGCAAACUGCUUUUGUCAGGGAAGAAAUCCUCUAGGUUAAUACCCUUGGGGGGAUGACGGUACCUGAAGAAUAAGCACCGGCUAACUACGUGCCAGCAGCCGCCGCGGUAA
rnacentral:rRNA from 1 species